UCCAUCCCAGUCUUCAUCCUGCAGCUCAUGAUCGUCUUCCUCGGGCCCAGGCUUUUUAACGGGGAGGGGAACCACCACGUCAAGCUGGCGAGCUAUUUCUGGAGUUCCUGGUGCUCGACAGGGGACGGCGGAGCCGCCUGCACCUACCCUCUCUUCAGCACUCUGCUGCUCGGGCUCCUCGACCUGUCACUGCUCGGCUACGCCUCCUAUGCCGGUGCUCGAAUUGUGUCACUGGCGAUCAACAGGAAGCUCCGGCGGCGGGUCUGCAUUCUGAUCCUCUCGGUUGACUUUCUAAUCCUGCUGCGGAUCGUCUUCCUCGGCCUGUCGAUCCUGCCGGUGCCCGGCGGCCCGCCCUUCGAGGCUCUCGUGUUCUUGGCCUUCCUGAUGCAGCUGCUCUGUGCCGCGGCGGGCGUGUCCGUGCUGGUCUUCUACCCGGUGGCGGACUCCCUGGCGCUGAGAGGGGCCCUGCAUUUUGACAUUGGAGAGGCGCCCUUCGACGACUAUUACAGCGAUGGCGCCUCUCUCAUCCCCAAUAACCAGAGCCUCCGGCUGGACCCUGGAAGAAGAAGCUCGGACGUCUCCACCAAGCGGGGCUCGAUAUCUUUCAGGACGAUGAUCAGAGUGGAGCUUGCGGCUGGAUGUGAUUCCGACAACCCCAGCGCCCCAUCGCCGCCGUACCCUCCUGCCAGCUAAGUCCUUGGAACCCCCUCCUCUCCUCUGGCUUUCUCCUCCUCCUCUUCUUCCCCCAAUCUUCCCCUCCUCCUCCUCGUCUGAUUUGCAGUGAGGAGGAGGGCCUCUCUUGUAGAAAUUGUUUUUUCUUAAACCGUUUUAAGGCAAAGUUUUCACUGUUCCAGCCCCAGCGAGCUUAUUUUCUUUGCACGAUGCUGCUCUUGAGACUUUUAUGAUCCUAUCUGAGAAUCUGAAACCAGGGUGGGAUGGGGUGUUGAUGAUGGGCGGGAGGAGGGGUAAAGAAAGGGAGAUUUCUGAAGGAACGUUUGGGGGAGAACCACUAGAGAAUUAUAGAGUUGCCGUCGGAGGGUUGACUAUCUCCCGAAUUGGCCCCACUUUCCUGGUGUUUGAUUGGUCGGAAUUCCCAGCCCAUGACGUGUUUGACGCAGAUUGUGAUGGCAGCUCAUGCCUUGCCGUCCUCGACUUCCUCUGCGGUUAAUCUUGACAGCUCAAAGAGGAUCUUUUUGACAGCACAUCUCUCUCUCUCUCUCUCUCUCUCUCUCU
rnacentral:lncRNA from 1 species